AACCCGACNCCGUGAAGCUGGAUUCGCUAGUAAUCGCGCAUCAGCCAUGGCGCGGUGAAUACGUUCCCGGGCCUUGUACACACCGCCCGUCAAGCCAUGGGAGCCGGGGGGUGCUUGAAGUGCGUCGCCGCAAGGCGCGCCCUAGAGCAAAACCGGUGACUGGGGCUAAGUCGUAACAAGGUAGC
rnacentral:rRNA from 1 species